rnacentral:tRNA from 1 species
GGGUUCGUGGUCUGGGGUCGGUGCACUCGUAAUGCGCAGGUCUCGGGUUCGAAUCCCGAAGGCGGCUCCA